rnacentral:rRNA from 1 species
GACAGAGGUUGCAAACGUUGUUCGGAAUUACUGGGCAUAAAGCGCGCGUAGGCGGUCCGUUAAGUCAUGUGUGAAAUCCCCCGGCUCAACCGGGGAAUUGCGCCUGAUACUGGCGGGCUAGAGAUCGAUAGGGGUGAGUGGAACUCCAGGUGGAGCGGUGAAAUGCGUAGAUAUCUGGAGGAACACCGGUGGCGAAAGCGGCUCACUGGAUCGAUACUGACGCUAAGGCGCGAAAGCGUGGGGAGCGAACAGG